rnacentral:lncRNA from 1 species
AUUUUCCCUCCGGGCUGUCUACCCAUCAACGAGGGGGACCGGUGAACCCCUCCUCUGUGGCUCAGUCCCUAGCAGCGCAGGUAACGGGACAAGGAGCUAAGUAGCUUCUAACCCAGCAAGUGACGCUGGGAGGUGGCGGAUGAGAGCCGCACCUGGAUGUGAAGCGUUCUUGUUUUCAACUCCUUCUCCAGGGUUUGGGAGGGGAAAUGGCAGCUGUGUGUGGCGGUGACCGGUGGCUGCUCCCUGCGCGAAAUUCAGAAAGAAAGCAGCGGCUCCCGGGGGCUUGGCCCUCCCGCCUCAGCCCUCCUCGUUGUUCUACAAAGUAAUCAUUACAAGCAACUGUCAGAGCUGCCACCAUGACCACGAAUUCAUUAAAAUCCACUUCGUUGUCCUUAUUGGCAUCCAGGUCCUGCAUUACCUUAUCAACCAAUUGUGGGUCCUUUUGGCUCUAAAAGGAAAAAGAAAAUGUCUAACUCCCAGGCUUGGAGGUUCAUGACAACUGAAAUUGCAUUUUCCUUUUAUUUAUGCUCUAGUUUUUAUUUGUUUUAGCAUCUAAGGACA